rnacentral:rRNA from 1 species
GACGAACGCUGGCGGCGUGCUUAACACAUGCAAGUCGAACGGUGAAGCGCCUUCCUUUUUGGUGGGUGUGGAUGAGUGGCGAACGGGUGAGUAACACGUGAGUAACCUGCCCCCUUCUUCUGGAUAACCGCAUGAAAGUGUGGCUAAUACGGGAUAUUCUGGGUCUGUCGCAUGAUGGGUCUGGGAAAGAUAUUGUUUCGGUGGGGGAUGGGCUCGCGGCCUAUCAGCUUGUUGGUGGGGUGAUGGCCUACCAAGGCGGUGACGGGUAGCCGGCCUGAGAGGGUGGACGGUCACGCUGGGGAUGAGACACGGCCAAGACUCCUACGGGACGCAGCAGUGAGGAAUAUUGCACGAUGGGCGCAAGCCUGAUGCAGCGACGCCGCGUGAGUGAUGGAGGCCUGCGGGUUGUGAACCUCUUUCGCCAGUGAAGCAGGCCUGCCUUGUGUGUGGGUGGGUUGACGGUAGCUGGAUAAGAAGCGCCGGCUAACUACGUG